rnacentral:rRNA from 1 species
UACGUAGGGUGCGAGCGUUAAUCGGAAUUACUGGGCGUAAAGCGUGCGCAGGCGGUUUUGCAAGCCGGAUGUGAAAUCCCCGGGCUCAACCUGGGAAUGGCAUUCGGGACUGCAAGGCUGGAGUGCGGCAGAGGAAACUGGAAUUCCUGGUGUAGCAGUGAAAUGCGUAGAUAUCAGGAGGAAUACCGAUGGCGAAGGCAGGUCUCUGGGCUGACACUGACGCUCAUGCACGAAAGCGUGGGGAGCAAACAGG